AACGCUAGCUACAGGCUUAACACAUGCAAGUCCAGGGGCAUCAGUUUGGUUUGCUUGCAAACCAAAGCUGGCGACCGGCGCACGGGUGAGUAACACGUAUCCAACCUGCCUCAUACUCGGGGAUAGCCUUUCGAAAGAAAGAUUAAUAUCCGAUGGCAUAAUUCUUCCGCAUGGUAGAACUAUUAAAGAAUUUCGGUCAUCGAUGGGGAUGCGUUCCAUUAGGUUGUUGGCGGGGUAACGGCCCACCAAGCCUUCGAUGGAUAGGGGUUCUGAGAGGAAGGUCCCCCACAUUGGAACUGAGACACGGUCCAAACUCCUACGGGAGGCAGCAGUGAGGAAUAUUGGUCAAUGGACGAGAGUCUGAACCAGCCAAGUAGCGUGAAGGAUGACUGCCCUAUGGGUUGUAAACUUCUUUUAUAUGGGAAUAAAGUGGUCCACGUGUGGAUUUUUGUAUGUACCAUAUGAAUAAGGAUCGGCUAACUCCGUGCCAGCAGCCGCGGUAAUACGGAGGAUCCGAGCGUUAUCCGGAUUUAUUGGGUUUAAAGGGAGCGUAGGCGGACGCUUAAGUCAGUUGUGAAAGUUUGCGGCUCAACCGCAAAAUUGCAGUUGAUACUGGGUGUCUUGAGUACAGUAGAGGCAGGCGGAAUUCGUGGUGUAGCGGUGAAAUGCUUAGAUAUCACGAAGAACUCCGAUUG
rnacentral:rRNA from 1 species